rnacentral:lncRNA from 1 species
AUGGGGGCGGGGAGGGCCAGGGCGAUCGCUGCGCUCACCCGCCGCCGGCCCCGGAAAGCCCCUUCCUGCGCCCGACAAGCUGCGGUCCUCCCCCCGCCCCGCACCGCCCGUAGCGACUGUCCCCAAGCGGAGGGGCGUCUCCCACCGCGCCCGCGCCCCUCCCGGCUGCUGCGGCGAGUGUCCGCUCCCUCCCGCCCCGGGGCCCGCCGGGCCCGGCCGGUACCUGGUCGGGGGCGCGCCGGGAGCCGCUGCAGCGCCCAGCGCCGGCUCCAUCCUCGGGUCUGGAGUCAGGCUCGCCGGAGGCCGGCAGGCGGCGGCGGCGGCGGCGGCGGCAUCCUCUGCCUCCCGCGCCCUCCUCCUCGGCCUCCCUCCUCCUGCCUCUUCCACCGCCUCCGCGCGCCCCUCACGGGCCCCUCUUCAUGGCCCGGGGGCGCGAGCCCAGGACCGCUCGGCCAGCUGAGAGCGUUCUCCGGGUCGGGGUACGGGAUCGGAGACCGGAGCGCGAGAGCCCCGGGGGCGCCGGGCCGGGGGCCGGGGGCUGGGACCGAGAGCGCGGCAGCCUGGGGCGCCGGAGCCUCGCCGAGCGCCAGCCGCCCUGCGUCCCGAGCCCUGGGCAGCAGCGGCGGCGGCUACGGCGCUGAGCGAGCGGCGGGCGCUGCGGUCCGGGCUCCACCCCCCCAAAGCCGCCCGCCCCUCAGCUGCCGCCCGCCCCCUGCUCUUCCCCACCCCGCCAGCGCGCGCCCUCCCGCUCCCCGCGCCGCCCUGCCGGCUCAGGCUCCCCGCGCUGCUCCAGCCACCAGCCCUCGGGACACCCCCGUUCGCAGGCCGGUUCCUGUGCCAACCCAUCCAAACCCGGGGGGAGCCACACCCACAACCCGGGUUUUGGAAGCCCAGCGAGCGAAGGCGCAGGCUACCCAUUGGCACCACUUUCUGUACACACCCCUACCCCGCCCCCGGUGUGUGUGGGGCGGGGGUGGAGAGCGCUCACGGACGGCCUUCCGCCUGAAUGCCCCUCCACCUUCAGAAGUUCGCCUGCAGCCCCCAGCCGAGCUCGGGGACCCCAGAACCCACAACAGGAGCCUUUUUGUAUCUUUUGGUACCAAUAGCCCAGCACAGACCCCUAGGUCACGCCCCUCCACCCCCUUUAUUUCUCAGAUGUGGAAAUGA